UUUUGGAAGAUCAGCGGCGGACGGGUGAGUAACACGUGGGCAACCUGCCUGUGAGACUGGGAUAACUUCGGGAAACCGGAGCUAAUACCGGAUAAUAUAAGGAACCUCCUGGUUCUUUAUUGAAAGAUGGUUUCGGCUAUCACUCACAGAUGGGCCCGCGGCGCAUUAGCUAGUUGGUGAGGUAACGGCUCACCAAGGCGACGAUGCGUAGCCGACCUGAGAGGGUGAUCGGCCACACUGGGACUGAGACACGGCCCAGACUCCUACGGGAGGCAGCAGUAGGGAAUCUUCCACAAUGGACGAAAGUCUGAUGGAGCAACGCCGCGUGAGCGAUGAAGGCCUUCGGGUCGUAAAGCUCUGUUGUUAGGGAAGAACAAGUGCGAGAGUAACUGCUCGCACCUUGACGGUACCUAACCAGAAAGCCACGGCUAACUACGUGCCAGCAGCCGCGGUAAUACGUAGGUGGCAAGCGUUGUCCGGAAUUAUUGGGCGUAAAGCGCGCGCAGGUGGUCCUUUAAGUCUGAUGUGAAAGCCCACGGCUCAACCGUGGAGGGUCAUUGGAAACUGGGGGACUUGAGUGCAGAAGAGGAAAGUGGAAUUCC
rnacentral:rRNA from 1 species